GAUGAACGCUGGCGGCGUGCCUAAUACAUGCAAGUCGAGCGAACAGACGAGGAGCUUGCUCCUCUGACGUUAGCGGCGGACGGGUGAGUAACACGUGGAUAACCUACCUAUAAGACUGGGAUAACUUCGGGAAACCGGAGCUAAUACCGGAUAAUAUAUUUAACCGCAUGGUUCAAUAGUGAAAGACGGUUUUGCUGUCACUUAUAGAUGGAUCCGCGCCGCAUUAGCUAGUUGGUAAGGUAACGGCUUGCCAAGGCGACGAUGCGUAGCCGACCUGAGAGGGUGAUCGGACACACUGGAACUGAGACGCGGUCCAGACUCCUACGGGAGGCAGCAGUAGGGAAUCUUCCGCAAUGGGCGAAAGCCUGACGGAGCAACGCCGCGUGAGUGAUGAAGGUCUUCGGAUCGUAAAACUAUGUUAUUAGGGAAGAACAAAUGUGUAAGUAACUAUGCACGUCUUGACGGUACCUAAUCAGAAAGCCACGGCUAACUACGUG
rnacentral:rRNA from 1 species